CUUUCUAUGGAAGCUUGCUUCCACUGAGAAGAUAGUGGGCGAACGGGUGAGUAACGACGUGGGUAACCUACCCAGUAAGAGGGGGGAUAACGAUCCGGAAACGGGUGCUAAUACCGCAUAGUUUCUUGAUCGCAUGAUCGGGAAAGGAAAGACGGCCUUUGUGCUGUCGCUUAUGGAUGGACCCGCGGCGUAUUAGUUAGUUGGUGAGGUAACGGCUCACCAAGACGAUGAUACGUAGCCGACCUGAGAGGGUGAUCGGCCACAUUGGGACUGAGACACGGCCCAAACUCCUACGGGAGGCAGCAGUAGGGAAUCUUCCGCAAUGGACGAAAGUCUGACGGAGCAACGCCGCGUGAGUGAAGAAGGUUUUUCGGGAAUCGUAAAACUCUGUUGUCAGAGAAGAACAAGUUGGAGAGUAACUGCUCCAGCCUUGACGGUAUCUGACCAGAAAGCCACGGCUAACUACGUGCCAGCAGCAGC
rnacentral:rRNA from 1 species